rnacentral:lncRNA from 1 species
UUUUUAAGUUGUCUCUUGUAUCACUUUGAAAUACCUCCAUAAUUAAAGUUUGAUGUUGUGUGGUUGGUUGGUUUUGUUGUUGUUUGGCAUUUUCUUUUGUUCAGUCACUAUUAUAUGCUCCAGUCUAUGAAUUUAAUUGUGCUCCAGGGUAAUUUGGUAAUUUUAUAAUUUCUACGAAUGUUUCCAACACCAUAUGACCUAAUCCAGCACCAUAUAAAUGGAUCCACUCAUUCUCUCAUUUGUAUGUAAUCUAGCACUCCCUGCAAGCAAGUUGAUGUUGUUAAUUUAAUCAUGCUACCUGAACAAGGUAUAUUGCUAUGUAGAAAAAUACAAGUUGAAACAGUCAAAAUACUGUGUAAUUCCAUUCAUAUGACUCUGUAGAAAAGGAAAAAGUGUAGUGAUAGUAGAGUUCAGUGGUAACAAGGGGCUUGGGAGAGAUAUAGGUGACAUCAGUGAACUACCGAAGAUUUCUUUUGGGCAGUGAAAUUCCUCUUUGAUACUGUAACGGUGGAUACAUCAUAAUGUUUUCCAAAUCCUGAAGAACUUUGUAACACAAAGAGUGUAGCUAAUUUAUGCAAAUUAAAAACCUUAUUUAGGAGGUCACAAGUUUGCCUUUUCACAGUAUUUUACCUUUUCCAACUUAUAUUUUUUAGCAAUAUGCUUUUUAGAUUUUUGAAGUACACCUCAUGGUUUUUAGAUUUGCCUUCACCUAAUUGUUGUAGGACAGGUGAGUCACACAAUUGGGGCUUAUCCUGAGAGGGUUAUUAGCUUUGUCCAGGAAAGAAUUUAAGGGCAAGUGGGUGAUGUUAGACUGCAAUAUUUUAUUGAAUGGUACUGCUCCUAGCAGAGCAGGGCUAACUCUUAAGCAGUGUGUUCAGAGUUGGCAACAUAUAGGCCUCCUGGCAACUGUGUUUAUAUGCAAUCAAACCCACUUUUAAUUAUAUGCAAAUUGAGGGGCAGAUCAAUGCAAAUUGAGGCAGGAAAGGGGCAGUGACUUCUAGGUUGUCUCCAUGGAAAGGGGCAGUAACUUCUGAGCUGUAGCCAUGGAAUUUGUAAACAGUUAUGUGGUUGGUAGGAGUGUCAUAUGAGUGACAAAUGAAGACUGCCAGGGAUCACAUUUACCACAAUGUACACGCUUCUGUCAGUUUUUUCCCUUUAUCCUGUCUGGAGCAGAUCUUAUUUUGGUCAUCAAGGUUGUGAAACCAGAAAACAAGUCCUUCCAGUCUCCUACCUCAUAAUGACAAAAGACAUUGAGCAUAAUUUCAUGUGAUUUUGGAUAUGACUAUGGCUUUCUUUUGAGAGUUGGCUAUUUAAGAUUUUGCCAUUUUUGAUUGGGAUAUUUGCCUUUUUAAUUUUGAGUUGUAAGACAUUGUAUAUUCUGGAUAAUAGACCAUUAUCACCUAUAAAAUUUGCAAUUUUCACAUAUUUUCUGCCAUUCUUUGGGUGCCUCUUUAUAUUUGAUGGUGGACUUUAAAUUGCAAAAGAUUUUAAUUCUAAUGAAGUUUAAUAUUUCUAUAUUUUCUUCUUUCCUUUGUGCUUUUCAGUGUCAUAUCUUAAAACAUUGUUUAACCAGAGACCACAAAGAUGUAUUCCUGUGUUCCUUUUUAUGGGUUGGCCCUGUUUAGCUCUUAUAUUUAGAUGGAUUAUCAUUUUGAGUCAAUUAUGUUUCUGGUAUGAGGCAAGAGUCUAACUUGCAUGUGGAUAUCCACUUGACCCACAAACAUUUGACAAGAAAAUAUUGCUUCAUACCUAAUUUAUUUGGCCACAGUAUAAAAGCAUUUCACCAUAAAUGUAGGGAUUCAUUUUUCAGUAUUAUAUUCUCUACUCCAUUGAUCAAUACAUAUAUCCCUAUACUAGUACCACAAAUCUUGAUUACUAUUACUUUGUAGUAAGUUUUGCAAUCAAGAAGCAUAUGUCUACUAUGCAAACCCUUUUUGUCCUUCUCAAGAGUGUUUUGGCUGCUCAUGAUCUAUAUUAUAUAUAAUUUUAGGAUAAACUUCUGAAUUUAGGGGAAGGUAAUGCCACCUGGUGUUUUGAGAGAAGUUGCAUUAAUUCUAUAGAUCCAUUUGGAAAAUAUUGCCAACCUAACAAUAUGCAUUCUGUAGUUUUUAGUGUACAUAUCUUAUACUUAAUUUGAUAAGGUUAUUCCUAAGUAUUUUUGAUGUGAUCUUAAUUGGAACGAUUUUCUGAGUUUUGUUUUUAGAUUGUUAAUUGCUAGUAUAGAGAAAUUUAAAAUAUUUUAUAUAUUUUAUAUGCUGCAAACUUCUUUGAACUCAUCUUUAAAUUCUAAACAUAUUUGAUAGAGUCCUUUGGACUUUUUAUACAUGAGAUCAUGUCAUUUGCAAACAGUCGGAGUUUGACUUCCUUUCCAUACUAGAAACGUUAUAUUUAUUUUUCUAAAUGAAUUGCCCUGUCUACAUUCUCCAGUACAAUGUUGCGAACAAGUGUCAACAGUGGAAAUAUUUGACUUCUUUCUAAUAUCAGAGAAAUUAGUGAACCUUUCAGAUUACUUAUGAUGAUAUGUGAGCUUUUCAUAGAUGCCCUUUGAAAUGAAGAAAGUUCUCUUAUCUGCCUAAUUUGCUGCAUGUUUUUAUAAUACUGAAUCUGGGAAUUUUCAAGUGCUUGUUGCACACCUUCUGAGACGAUUGUGUAGUUUUUAUUCUUUAUUAAUAUAGUGUAUGACAUUAAUUGUAUCAUAUGUUGAACCAAAUUUGCAUUCCUGAGGUAAAUACCUUUUGCCAUAGUUUAUAAUACUUUCUACAUGUUGCUGAUUUCAUUUGAUAAUAUCUCGCUGCUGAUUUUUGUCUCUGUAUUUAUAAGGCAUAUUGGUCUUCAUUCUCCUUAUUUGAAAUGUCUUUGUGUAGUUGUUCAAUCAGGGUAAACUAAUUCAUAGUAUACAAUGGGAAGUGAUCUAUUUUCUACUUCUUUAUUAUUAUUGUAUUGUUUUGAAAUAUUUUUGAUAAAUUAGUAUUAAUUUUAAGUGAUUUUAAUAACACAUCAAUGAGUUCCUGAUGAGGGCAGGGAGGUGAAUCCUAAGAACAAUCAUGUGAGUUUGGAAGGAGACCCUUCCCCAGCUGAGCCUCAGCCUGAGCCAUCCCCUACAUCUAGACCGAAGACCCAGAGAAACCGUGAGUAGUAUGUGUGUGGUUCUGAGCCACUAAGGUAUGUAGUAAUUUGUUAUGCACCAAGUAGUAAGUAAUAUACCUGACAGUAAUUGUUAGGUGGUAUUCUGGAUUAGGUCCUGGAAUAGAUAAGUAUAUGAUUAUUAGAAAACCUGGUAAAAUAUGAAGGAAGUUUGUAGAUCAGUUAAUAGUCUUGAAAAACAGUUAAAUUCUUAGUUUUCAUGAAUAUGCUAUGGUUACAAUAUAUAUUAACAUUCUAGUUAUCUGAAUGGUAUAUGAAACUGUCUGUACUUACCUAUGUGCAUUUAUGUAAAUCUGCAGUUAUUUCAAAAUAAAUAUGUUUUUUAAUAUUAUUAUUAUUUUUUUAAGAAAAGUAAGCAAGUAAAGACAUCAGCAAAAAACUUUUGCCUCCAGAUACAAGUGGGCAUGUAGGGAGAGAAUAGUAAACUGGCUUUUCUUUUCUUUUCUAGGCAACAUUCGAAACCCAGGUGCCACUCCUUCAGGAAGGUACCAUCAAGCUCCAAGGACUCAUCCUCUUUCUCCUUCCCCACUACCUAGUCAUUAGAGCGUCAGCAUCCACUUCCUGAAAGGAAGAUGCCUGUUUUUCACAUAUCCCAGAAAGCCUCAUUUUAGGACAGCAUUUAGCAGAGUGUAUUCAGGAUCCCACUAACCUUUUCGGAAGACAUGACUUCCAGAUGAUAUAAGGCAAGAAUAAGAAAUUUCAGUGACAGGGAACAGAAAUCAUAUUUCUGCAUUCAGGAUCAUGUUUUCUUGGCUCCAUCAGGAACUGUGCAGGACUGUGCACUCUGUUGAUACUCACAUGGUGGAAUUAUAUUGCCCUUGGCCAACCCUAAAGCCAUCAAGAUAGCAGGUUUGGAAUAAUUCACUGUCGAAGUCUUCUUGAGCUGAGCAGUCAUGUGAGCUUGGAAGAUGAUCCCUCUCCAGCUGAUCCUUCAGCUCAGGCCAUCAUCUACAUCUGGAUUCCUGACCCGGAGAAACUAUGAGUAAUGUGUGCUGCUUUUGAGCCACUAAGCUAC